UGUGUAUACAUAAACCCCCUCAAAUCCUCAAUAAUCCAGCGCAAUAGCCAGGAUACCUGCCUCUGCUGUAGUGGCUGCUGGAUCCCACUCACUUACCACUGCAUACACUUACCUGCAGACAAUUCACCACAGACACUCUCUGAGACUGCUCCACAAAGACCUGGCUGUCGCUGAACGACAUGGGAGAUAUGGACAGGAUAUUCUUUUCACCUCUCACUGUCAUUUAUUUAUAUCACUCUACAUGUGUACAUACAUUACUCUGCACUUCACUGCUCUUUGCACCUCUGUUUAGAUGCUAAACUGGUUUUUGUUGUCUCAGGAAUUGUGUUCUGUGCAAAAACAAUAAAGAUCCAUAUUCUA